rnacentral:misc_RNA from 1 species
GCCACCAUUGUUUGUGAAUUGAAAUGGAUUUCGUGCUUGCUUGCUAAUUUCAACAUUCCUUUGCAACUUCUUGUUGAACUUCAUUAUUAUAACCAAGCAGAAUCCACAUAGAAGCCAACCCCGAGUUCUAUGAAAGAAUAAAACAUUUAGAGAUGACUGUCAUGUGGUUUGUGAUGAAGUUUCUGAAGGUUUUACUUCCACAGUUAAAGUUGCUUCUAAGGAAUAGAUCGCAGAUGUCUUCACAAAAGCCCCUUUCCAUUUUUAUUUUUCAUUCUCUUAUGUCCAAGCCAUGGACUUUCACCAAUCA